CACCAAACACCCAUUACCAUAACACAUCAUUAUAAUACUAUUUAAAAAGAGUUAUUGUAUAUUAGAAAAGUUUGAGGCGGCAAGGGAAAAUAAAAUAGCGCCAAAUCCCUAAGUUUUUUCUACAGUAGACUCCCGUGUACCCAUUUCCCGUAUACCCAUUUCCCUCAUUUUCUUCUCUCUUUCACUUCCUGGUACUCUCCCGUAUCUCAUUUUCUUCUCUAUUUCUCUUCCUGGUAUACCCAUUUCCAGUGUCUCAUUUCCCAUUUCCCGUGUCUCAUUUCCCGGACCUAUCUCUCUCGGUCUCUCACUCCCCUUCACGAAAGACCAUCUACACCACAUUCGAAGGCGAUAUACGAGGCAUGAUCUUCCCUGGAGGCUUUGGCCAAAUCAGACUCGUGAGGUCGAUGAACUAGGUGGAAAGUGCAGGUCAGCGCUGUGGAGAUAGAAAGGCUGAUGGAUGGAUCCUUCCACUGUCUUUGAACAUUGAAAUCAGGGAUGUGACUACAACCACUGGCUCAUCGUCAUGGAUUUCCCCAAGGACCACAAACCUUCCCCUGAAGAAAUGGUUCGUACCUAUGAGGAAACCUUUGCCAGGGGCUUAAACAUCAGGUCUAAUCUCACCCUUUCUCUGUCUAUAUACAUAUAUAUAUAUUUAUAUACCAUCUUCUUUCUCCAGCUGCCUUUCAAGUAAUUUGAGGUUUUUUGGUUUUGAGAGAGAUUGCAUUAGAAAAAAUAAGUAUACCAGCAUAAAUUUUAGGUUGUGUUUUAGUUUUUUUUUAUGGGAACUACUAAUUUUAUGCUGCAAAAUUUAGUUUUCAAAUAUAAUUACUUAUGAUUGUUCCUUCAAUAUAAUUGUUAUCAAUUUGUUUUUAAUUUUUUUUAAUUAUGAUUGGGAUAGCUAUGAUUAACUAUUAACUAAUUCAAUAUAAUUUCUUGUUA